GAAGAAGGCGGGGGGCGUGCUUAACACAUGCAAGUCGAACGGAAAGGCCCUGCUUUUGUGGGGUGCUCGAGUGGCGAACGGGUGAGUAACACGUGAGUAACCUGCCCUUGACUUUGGGAUAACUUCAGGAAACUGGGGCUAAUACCGGAUAGGAGCUCCUGCUGCAUGGUGGGGGUUGGAAAGUUUCGGCGGUUGGGGAUGGACUCGCGGCUUAUCAGCUUGUUGGUGGGGUAGUGGCUUACCAAGGCUUUGACGGGUAGCCGGCCUGAGAGGGUGACCGGCCACAUUGGGACUGAGAUACGGCCCAGACUCCUACGGGAGGCAGCAGUGGGGAAUAUUGCACAAUGGGCGGAAGCCUGGUGCAGCAACGCCGCGUGCGGGAUGACGGCCUUCGGGUUGUAAACCGCUUUCGCCUGUGACGAAGCGUGAGUGACGGUAAUGGGUAAAGAAGCACCGGCUAACUACGUG
rnacentral:rRNA from 1 species